GCCUGCCUGUUUCCCUGUCAAGAGCUUCUGCUGUUUGAUCUAUGGAUGCCCUACGGUGCUUCAUCUGAUUAUAUAAAUUGGAGUGAACAUGCAGUGCAUAGUUAAGGUCUAGAGGUCUCACUCUCCCCUGAAAAUAUCAAGUCGAGCUGUCAGUUUGGGGGAAAGGAAAUAUCUUUAUCUCUCUGUUGUUCUCCAAUUUGUGCACACACUGAGAUAAGUUUGGGGUGGACAACAAAGGGUCUCGAGCUCCAGUUCCUGCAGCAGAAAAUAUCAACUUUGGAUCCACUAGUGCCUGUAUUCAGAGUUCUUAUCUGACCCUUUUCCCUGUCUAUGUUACUAGACUAAGUUCAGUGUCUAGGGGGCUGAUUGGUUGCAUGUGUGCGCUCGUGCAGGGCCCAUUAGAUACAAGUUUUUGACAGUGCAGUGUGUUUGGUUGCUUGAACAAAUAUCUAGGCCAGACUACGCUCGUGCAAAAUAACCAUCUCAUCCAGGCCCAUCACAAACGGCCAAAAUCUCCGUUUCUUCGGAGCCAGGCUCCACUCAUUCCCUGUCGUCGCAGCUCAGAGCACGCGCAGCCGCCUCGCCUCGCCUGGAGCUCACGCAGCCGCCUCGCCUGGAGCUCGCGCAGCCGCCUCGCCUUGCCUGGAGCUUGCGCAGCCACCUCGUCUGGAUCUCGUGCUAGGGUUGGAGCCAGGGUCCUCUCGCAGCCGCCUCUAUCCUCGCCUGGAGCUCGCGCUAGGGUUCCUCUCGCAGCCGCCGCUGUUGAGGUAACGAGGUUGGCAUUGUGGUCGGAGGCGGCCAUGCCGGAUGCGAGGCCGCCCUUGCUUCGCCUCGCCUCGGCGCGCGCACCCUGCUUCUUACGCUCAACAUUGACCGGAUUCCGUGGCAGGUCUGCGCUGAGCUAGCUUUGCCCCGAUGGUAGAUAUUCUAGUCAAGUUCAUGACUGAAAUUACUUGAAUAUUGACUCCUGAUGCCAGAUAAUAAAAAUCAUGUCCCUUAUAUGAAGAAUUGAUCCAUCAAACCCUGCAGUGUAGAAAUUUAGCAAUGUGAAAUCUCACCUGUGAUAGCAUUUUUGUAGGGCACAGAUUUUGUUCCAAGGUAUGAAUGUACGAUAGAAACUGAAUAGAUGAUUUUUGAUUAGUAUGUUGCAUAUCUUAGUAUGCUAUAGCCUAUAACUAUAAGGAAACAUUCUUUGUCAAUGAAUUCCAUUUAAAUUUUAGUAUUAGAAGUGUGGUUCUGCUUCAACUCAUCUUCUGCCCUACCCAGCCUUGUAACCCUGCUGUUGGUGGCCCUGCAACGUCUCAACUUGUCCAUGAGGUAGAUGCCCUUGGUGGUAAAAUUGGAAAAAUUACUGAUAGGUGCUACUUGCAAAAGCGUGUACUGAACAGCUCAAAAGGCCCUGCUAUAUGUGCACUGCGUGCUCAGCCUGAUAAGAGAGAGUAUGCAAUAGAGAUGAAGAACAGUGUGGAAAGCACAGAAAAUCUUUUCAUUAGAGAAGCAAUGGCUACAGAGGUUUUAAUUGGAAAAAAUGACACCAUUGAGGGUGUUUGCACUUUCUUCAGCAUGGACUUUAUGCACCAUCUGUUGUACUUAGCACCAGAACAUUCAUGAGUGUUUCUGGGGCCAAGCUGCUCGGCUCCUGGGGCGUGGACCUCCCCAUCAGGCCGCUGCACACGCUCCACCUCUACUGGCGCGUGAAGCCCGGCCAGGAGCAGACUGUCUCGACGAGCGCCGGGUUCCCGACCUUCUCCAGCUACGGCGACCCGCCCGUGUACGGCGCGCCGUCGCUGGAGCUCCCGGGGCUCAUCAAGAUCAGCUGCAUUAGAUCUUAGAGUACACUGUUUUACACAAUUUGGAGUUGUUACUACUAUCAAGCUUUAGACUUUAGACUUUGGAGUACACUGUUUUUACACUGUAUUAAGCUUUAGCCUUUUAUGCUACAGUGUGUAAAAAAGCAAGCUUUAGACAGUUAGGCUAAUCUAUAGACAGUGUAAAGCUUGAUUUUUUGACAAUACAGUUCAAAUUCUUAGAACAAUGCGGUCUGAAAGUUUAAUACAGUUCUGACAAUAGAGUUGAGUACAC